rnacentral:rRNA from 1 species
UACGUAGGGAGCAAGCGUUGUCCGGAAUCAUUGGGCGUAAAGCGCGCGUAGGUGGCCCCCGUAAGUCCGCUGUGAAAAGUCAAAGGCUCAACCUUUGAAAGCCGGUGGAUACUGUGGGACUAGAGUACGGAAGAGGCAAGUGGAAUUCCUGGUGUAGCGGUGGAAAUGCGCAGAUAUCAGGAGGAACACCAAUAGCGAAGGCAGCUCGCUGGGACGUUACUGACACUGAGGCGCGAAAGCUAGGGGGAGCAAACGGG